GAGGGUAUAGCUCAGUAGUAGAGUGCGUGCUCAGCAUGCAGGAGGUCCUGGGUUCAAUUCCUAGGACUUCCA
rnacentral:tRNA from 1 species